rnacentral:rRNA from 1 species
CCGAGAUUCCCCCAGUAGCGGCGAGCGAACGGGGAGCAGCCCAGAGCCUGAAUCAGUAUGUGUGUUAGUGGAAGCGUCUGGAAAGGCGCGCGAUACAGGGUGACAGCCCCGUACACAAAAAUGCACAUGCUGUGAGCUCGAUGAGUAGGGCGGGACACGUGGUAUCCUGUCUGAAUAUGGGGGGACCAUCCUCCAAGGCUAAAUACUCCUGACUGACCGAUAGUGAACCAGUACCGUGAGGGAAAGGCGAAAAGAACCCCGGCGAGGGGAGUGAAAAAGAACCUGAAACCGUGUACGUACAAGCAGUGGGAGCACGCUUAGGCGUGUGACUGCGUACCUUUUGUAUAAUGGGUCAGCGACUUAUAUUCUGUAGCAAGGUUAACCGAAUAGGGGAGCCGAAGGGAAACCGAGUCUUAACUGGGCGUUAAGUUGCAGGGUAUAGACCCGAAACCCGGUGAUCUAGCCAUGGGCAGGUUGAAGGUUGGGUAACACUAACUGGAGGACCGAACCGACUAAUGUUGAAAAAUUAGCGGAUGACUUGUGGCUGGGGGUGAAAGGCCAAUCAAACCGGGAGAUAGCUGGUUCUCCCCGAAAGCUAUUUAGGUAGCGCCUCGUGAAUUCAUCUCCGGGGGUAGAGCACUGUUUCGGCAAGGGGGUCAUCCCGACUUACCAACCCGAUGCAAACUGCGAAUACCGGAGAAUGUUAUCACGGGAGACACACGGCGGGUGCUAACGUCCGUCGUGAAGAGGGAAACAACCCAGACCGCCAGCUAAGGUCCCAAAGUCAUGGUUAAGUGGGAAACGAUGUGGGAAGGCCCAGACAGCCAGGAUGUUGGCUUAGAAGCAGCCAUCAUUUAAAGAAAGCGUAAUAGCUCACUGGUCGAGUCGGCCUGCGCGGAAGAUGUAACGGGGCUAAACCAUGCACCGAAGCUGCGGCAGCGACGCUGAUGCGUUGUUGGGUA